AUUGAACGCUGGCGGCAUGCCUUACACAUGCAAGUCGAACGGCAGCACGGGAGCAAUCCUGGUGGCGAGUGGCGAACGGGUGAGUAAUAUAUCGGAACGUGCCCAGUCGUGGGGGAUAACGUAGCGAAAGCUACGCUAAUACCGCAUACGAUCUAUGGAUGAAAGCGGGGGAUCGCAAGGCCUCGCGCGAUUGGAGCGGCCGAUAUCAGAUUAGGUAGUUGGUGAGGUAAAGGACUCACCAAGCCGACGAUCUGUAGCUGGUCUGAGAGGACGACCAGCCACACUGGGACUGAGACACGGCCCAGACUCCUACGGGAGGCAGCAGUGGGGAA
rnacentral:rRNA from 1 species